ensembl:lncRNA
GAACCGGGGAGGGUCGCAUUUCUCAGCUCGUCCCUCUCUCCACACUGUUACCGGGAGGGCAGAAAAAUGCCUGAGUAACAGACUUCAGAUACAAAGGCCUGCAACUAUGUGCUGACAAAACACCAGAGGGAAGGAAUGCAAUCUUUGACAGUCUCAAGAGGUGGGCCCAUUUAAACAUCAUGAAGUUCGUCAAGGCCAACUGCAACAUUCUGCACCUGGAUCAGGGCAAUUCAAAGAGCAAGUACAGUCUGAAUGGAGAUUGGACUGAGAGCAGCCAUAGCCCUGUGAAGAAGCACUUGGAGUGUUGGUUGAUGAGAAGCUUGACAUGACCGGGCAGUAUGUCCUUGCAGCCCUGAACACCAACCAUAUCCUGAGCUGCAUCAAAA